UCCCUGAUAGCUCAGUUGGUAAAGAAUCUGCCUGCAAUGUGGGAGACCCUGGUUUGAUUCCUGGUCAGGAAG
rnacentral:tRNA from 1 species